GAGUUUGAUCCUGGCUCAGAAUCAACGCUGGCGGCGUGCCUCAGACAUGCAAGUCGAACGAUUAAACUUUCCUUCGGGAAAGAUAUAAAGUGGCGCACGGGUGAGUAACACGUAAGUAAUCUACCUUCGAGUGGGGAAUAACGUCCGGAGACGGACGCUAAUACCGCAUAAUGCAGCGGCAUCGCAAGAUGACAGUUGUUAAAGGAUUUAUUCGCUUGAAGAGGAGCUUGCGGCAGAUUAGCUUGUUGGUAAGGUAACGGCUUACCAAGGCUACGAUCUGUAACCGGUCUAAGAGGACGGUCGGUCACACUGACACUGAAUAACGGGUCAGACUCCUACGGGAGGCAGCAGUCGGGAAUUUUGGGCAAUGGGCGAAAGCCUGACCCAGCAACGCCGCGUGAAGGAUGAAGUAUUUCGGUAUGUAAACUUCGAAAGAAUAGGAAGAAUAAAUGACGGUACUAUUUAUAAGGUCCGGCUAACUACGUGCCAGCAGCCGCGGUAAUACGUAGGGACCAAGCGUUGUUCGGAUUUACUGGGCGUAAAGGGCGCGUAGGCGGCUUGACAAGUCACUUGUGAAAUCUCUGGGCUUAACCCAGAACGGCCAAGUGAAACUGUCAUGCUAGAGUGCAGAAGGGGCAAUCGGAAUUCUUGGUGUAGCGGUGAAAUGCGUAGAUAUCAAGAGGAACACCUGAGGUGAAGACGGGUUGCUGGGCUGACACUGACGCUGAGGCGCGAAAGCCAGGGGAGCAAACGGGAUUAGAUACCCCGGUAGUCCUGGCCCUAACGAUGAAUACUUGGUGUCUGGAAUUAUUAUUGUUCCGGGUGCCGUCGCUAACGUUUUAGUAUUCCGCCUGGGGAGUACGCACGCAAGUGUGAAACUCAAAGGAAUUGACGGG
rnacentral:rRNA from 1 species